AUUGAACGCUGGCGGCAUGCUUUACACAUGCCAGUCGAACGGCAGCGCGGGCUUCGGCCUGGCGGCGAGUGGCGAACGGGUGAGUAAUGCAUCGGAACGUGCCCAGUAGUGGGGGAUAGCCCGGCGAAAGCCGGAUUAAUACCGCAUACGACCUGAGGGUGAAAGCGGGGGACCGAAAGGCCUCGCGCUAUUGGAGCGGCCGAUGUCGGAUUAGCUAGUUGGUGGGGUAAAGGCUUACCAAGGCGACGAUCCGUAGCUGGUCUGAGAGGACGACCAGCCACACUGGGACUGAGACGCGGCCCAGACUCCUACGGGAGGCAGCAGUGGGGAAUUUUGGACAAUGGGGGCAACACGGAUCCAGCCAUGCCGCGUACGGGAAGAAGGCCUUCGGGUUGUAAACCGCUUUUGUUCGGGAAGAAAUCCUCUGGGCUAAUACCCCGGGGGGAUGACGGUACCGGAAGAAUAAGCACCGGCUAACUACG
rnacentral:rRNA from 1 species